rnacentral:rRNA from 1 species
AAUGAACGCUGGCGGCGCGCCUAAUACAUGCAAGUCGAGCGAGAAGACGUAGCAAUACGUUUGUAAAGCGGCGAACGGGUGAGGAAUACAUGGGUAACCUACCCUCGAGUGGGGAAUAACUAGCCGAAAGGUUAGCUAAUACCGCGUACGCUUCUUGGACUUCGGUUCAGGGAGGAAAGCGAUGCCGAGGGUAUCGCGCUCUUGGAUGGGCUCAUGUCCUAUCAGCUUGUUGGNGAGGUAACGGCUCACCAAGGCUUCGACGGGUAGCUGGUCUGAGAGGACGAUCAGCCACACUGGCACUGCGACACGGGCCAGACUCCUACGGGAGGCAGCAGUAAGGAAUAUUGCGCAAUGGGCGAAAGCCUGACGCAGCGACGCCGCGUGGGGG